UGGAGGGCAAGUCUGGUGCCAGCAGCCGCGGUAAUUCCAGCUCCAAUAGCGUAUACUAAAGCUGCUGCGGUUAAAAAGCUCGUAGUUGGAUCUCAGUUCCAGACGAGUAGUGCAUCUACCCGAUGCGACGGCUCGGACUGAACAUCAUGCCGGUUCUUUCUUGGUGCACUUCAUUGUGUGCCUCGAGAUGGCCGGUGCUUUUACUUUGAAAAAAUUAGAGUGCUCAACGCAGGCGAGUCGCCUGAAUAAACUUGCAUGGAAUAAUAGAACAAGACCUCGUUUCUGUUCUGUUGGUUUUUGGAAUACGAGGUAAUGAUUAAGAGGGACGGACGGGGGCAUUCGUAUUGCGGCGCUAGAGGUGAAAUUCUUGGACCGUCGCAAGACGAACUACUGCGAAAGCAUUUGCCAAGAAUGUUUUCAUUGAUCAAGAACGAAAGUCAGAGGUUCGAAGGCGAUCAGAUACCGCCCUAG
rnacentral:rRNA from 1 species